GACGAACGCUGGCGGCGUGCUUAACACAUGCAAGUCGAACGGAAAGGCCCUGCUUUUGUGGGGUUCUCGAGUGGCGAACGGGUGAGUAACACGUGAGUAACCUGCCCUUGACUGUGGGAUAACUUCAGGAAACUGGGGCUAAUACCGGAUAGGAGCUCCUGCUUCAUGGUGGGGGUUGGUAAGUUGCGGCGGUUGGGGAUGGACUCGAGGCUUAUCAGCUUGUUGGGGGGGUAGUUGCUUACCAAGGCUUUGAAGGGUAGGCCGCCUGAGAGGGUGACCGGCGACCAUGGGCCUACGGGAGGCACCAGAAUGCUAUGGGCCGCAGCAGUGGGGAAUAUUGCAGAACGGGCCGAAGCGUGAUGCGACAACGCCGCGUGCGGGAUGCCGGCUUUUGGGUUGUAAACCGAUUUGGCAUGUGACGAAGAGUGAGUGACGGUAAUGGGUAAAGAAGCACCGGCUAACUACGUG
rnacentral:rRNA from 1 species